rfam:Schistosoma margrebowiei strain Zambia genome assembly, scaffold: SMRZ_contig0007664
AUCCAGCUCACGGGUUUCAUAUAGGAGGAAACGCGCGUCCUGGAU